rnacentral:rRNA from 1 species
UCCGUAGGUGAACCUGCUGAAGGA